GACGAACGCUGGCGGCGCGCUUAACACAUGCAAGUCGAACGGAAAGGCCCUGCUUUUGUGGGGUGCUCGAGUGGCGAACGGGUGUGUAACACGUGAGUAAGCUGCCCUCGACUGUGGGAUAACUUCUGGAAACUGGGGCCAAUACCGGAUAGGAGCUCCUGCUGCAUGGGGGGGGUUGGAAAGUUUCGGCGGUUGGGGAAGGACUCGCGGCUUAUCAGCUUGCUGGGGUGGUAGAGGCUUACCAUGGCGUUGCCGCGUAGCCGGGCUGAGAGGGUGACCGGCCACAUUGGAACUGGGAUGCGGCCCAGACUCCUACGGGAGGCAACGGUGGGGAAUAUUGCACAAUGCGCGGAAGGCUGAUGUAGCAACGCCGCGUGGGGGAUGCCGGGCUUCGGGUUGUAAACCGCUUUCGCCUGAGCCGAGGAGUGAGUGACGGUAACGGGUUAAGAAGCACCGGCUAACUACGUG
rnacentral:rRNA from 1 species